rnacentral:lncRNA from 1 species
AACAUGGUUUUCAAAGCCAAUACAAUUGAACUUACUCAAGAAAAAGAGACUGGUAAAAACCCUAUUUAUGAUUUAAUAGACAAAGAAUAUUCCACGAUGGCUGAGAAAGUUAGAUCAGAUAGCCAAAUGUUUGAUUGCAUAUAUGAUUAUGAGCCUUUGGGAUUUGGAAAGUAUCUAUCAGUUUUAGCCAAGAAGAUUCAAG